CAGUCCAGCUUAGGCGACAGAGCAAGACUCUGUCUCAAAAAAAAUAAUAAAAAUAAAGUUACAUUUGAUCCGGUUCUCCCACCGCCCCCGCUGUGGGUCUCAGAAGCUCGCGCUGCGGGAGGAGUGGUAGUGGCCAGGCAGCCCAGUUUCGCGAAGGCUCUCUGCGCGCAGCAGCCCACAGGCACCCGGCACGCACCUUCCCUGCCGCCAGGAUGCCCAGGAGGAAGGUCAACUCUGCGAAGGGGCCGCCAAGGAAGAGCCCAAGAGGAGAUUGGCGCGGUUGUCAGCUAAACCUCCUGCAAAAGUGGAAGCGAAACCGAAAAAGGCAACAGCGAAGCUUCAGACAAAAAAGUGCAAACAAAAGGGAAAAGUGGAGCAAAGGGAAAUCAGGCCGAAGUGGCUAACCAAGAAACUAAAGAAGAUUUACCUGUAGAAAGCGGGGAAACGAAAACUGAGGAGAGUCCAGCCUCUGAUGAAGCAGGAGAGAAAGAAGCCAAGUCUGAUUAAUACAUAUACCAUGUCUUACCAGUGGUCCCUGUCUCCCUUCUUGUACAAUCCAGAGGAAUAUUUUUAUCAACUAUUUUGUAAAUGCAAGUUUUUUAGUAGCUCUAGAAACAUUUUUAAGAAGGAGGGAAUCCCACCUCAUCCCAUUUUUUAAGUGUAAAUGCUUUUUUUUAAGAGGUGAAAUCAUUUGCUGGUGGUUUAUUUUUUGGUACAACCAGAAAAUACUGUGGGAUAUUGAAUUAUGGGAGGCUUUGACUGUCUCGGGUGUCAGCUUAAUAUUCCAUACAUGGGGGGUUAGUUUUUAUAUCCUAUAAUACAAAGCAUAUUAAAUGGCAAUAUGGAGUCAGUCCUGCAUUUAAUGUCUUGAACAUUUUAAAUUACUUCCAUUCUCAUGUUGUUUUUUAGUAGAAUUGUUUCCUAAAGAAAACCACUCCUUGAUCAUGGCGCUCCCUGUCAGAAUUGUGUGCACUCUGUAACAUGUUUGGUUGUGGUAGUCCUGUUUUCCUAAUAACUUUGUUACUGUGCUGUGAAAGAUUACAAAUUUGAAUAUGUAGUGUAUAUGCUAUUCAGUUGUGAACUGGUGGCCCCUAUGUAAACAGCUGAGCAACAUGUGAAGAUACUGGUACUUGAUAGCCUCUUAAGGAAAAUUUGCUUCCAAAUUUUAAGCUGGAAAGUCACUGGAAUAACUUUAAAAAAGAAUUACAAUACAUGGCUUUUUAGAAUUUCGUUACAUAUGUUAAGAAUUAUGUACAAAUUGAAAUGUCUGUACUGAUCUUCAACCAAUAAAAUCUCAAUU